AUCUCUCAUUCCAUCUUAUAGAGAAUCUUGGAUAACUGAUUUGUGGUUUCAUGUGUUUCUAAAUUGGCAUGACUGACUAUAUGAGAAGUUAUGUCCUUCCAAGAAAAGGACUUACAGUCAACAAGAUUCCUUGUUUGCUAACCCGUUGGCUGCUACCCAUGAAUCUCCCUAUUUUUCAACAACAAAAAAGAGGUUAAAUAUUGUGAUCAUGCUAUCAUCAUUAUGUUGCCUAUAAGACCAAAUGUGGGGCAUCUGGUUAUCCCUCCAAAAUAAGGCAAUGACCACACGUUCAACGCGGAUCAUUCGCUUUGUCAUCGAACUUGACUCAUUCCAUCUUCUGGAUUGCUUAGGAAAGCUGAUUGGUGUUACCUGUGUAACUUCAUUGUCA